rnacentral:lncRNA from 1 species
AGAAAAAUAAACAAUUAGCACUAUCAUGCCACGGUGGUACACACUUGAAGUACAACUAAGGAUACUUUGUGUUAAUUAUGAAAAGCUUUUGUACAACAUCACAAACGAAAGGGCUCGGAUGAACAUCAAGAAUUAAGGGACAAAAAUUGAGACUACGCCUCUCAUACGAUGUAUAUCCAACAACAUCAUGAAUAUCAUCAAAUGCAUAUAGGUAGUGAAGAAAGGAACCAAAG